CAGUUUCUUUCGGUCAACGAUUACCAGCAUCCAAUCUCCAUGAAGAAAAUGACGAUUCCAACGAGCAAAGAGUUCCUGAAAGUAUUUUCCCCAUAUCAGUCCAACGGACACAUAAAAACUAAAGAAAA